UCCUACGGGACGCAGCAGUGGGGAAUAUUGCACAAUGGGGGGAACCCUGAUGCAGCGACGCCACGUGGGUGAAGAAGUCAUUCGUGACGUAAAGCCCUAUCAGCAGGGAAGAAAAUGACGGUACCUGACUAAGAAGCCCCGGCUAACUACGUGCCAGCAGCCGCGGUAAUACGUAGGGGGCAAGAGAAAAACGGAUUUACUGGGUGUAAAGGGAGCGUAGACGGCGGCGCAAGUCCGGAGUGAAAGCCCACGGCCCAACCGUGGGACUGCUCUGGAAACUGUGCGGCGUGAGU
rnacentral:rRNA from 1 species